GCCGAACGAUGGCGGCGUGCUUAACACAUGCAAGUCGUACGAAGUGGCGAACGGGUGAGUAACGCGUAAUCAACCUGCCCUUCAGAGGGGGACAACAGUUGGAAACGACUGCUAAUACCGCAUACUGAAGGAGGGGAUUGCGUCUGAUUAGAUAGUUGGAGGGGUAACGGCCCACCAAGGCGAUGAUCAGGAGCCGGUCUGAGAGAGUGAGCGGGCACAUUGGAACAGAGACACGGCCCCGAGUCCUACGGGAGGAAGCAGUGGGUAAUCUUCCGCAAUAGACGAAAGUCUGACGAUGCAACGCAGCGGCAUUGAUGACGGCCUUCGGGUUGUAAAGCUCUGUUAAUCGAGACGCAGUACCGGAAUAGAAAGCCACGGCUAACUACGUGCCAGCAGCCGCAGUAAUAC
rnacentral:rRNA from 1 species